ACUCUGUUAUUACCACUGGAUGCCACAAUCCUCUUGGAGAGAUAAGGAAAAUUCUGUUUUUUUUCAUAUAACUUCAUUGGAGCUUUUGCUGCUGAAAAAUUUAUGGACAGCAUCUGAAAGGGGACAAAAUAAGUGAGCACUAAAUAUUCUCGGAGAGUUAACACGAAAAUGAGAAAAAGGAAUAAAGACAAGAGCUUGCUAGAAAACUCUGCACCUUUGUAUAAGCUAGAAAACACUGACACCAUUGCAAGGAGAUUGCAACAUAACCACCGCCUCCUCCAGAUCAUUUAUGCACAUGGCCCCAGGGAAGGAUACAGAGUUAACUAAGACCUGGCCUCUGUCCACAAGAAGUUACUGGACUAGCAACAUUUUCAGUCUAUUCACAACCGUGUUCAUUGAUGCUGCCGUGUAUGGGGAAACAGAUGUCAAGUUAUAGAGCAAACAAUUUUCUAAGCUAAAAUAUUUUAUAUUGUUUAAAAACCCCGUCAAAUUGGGUAAUUUGGAUUUUUAUGUGUAAAAGAGAUUACUUUUUAAGAAACUAAAUUGCAUAGUACUUAUUCUUUCAUCAGAUAAAAUACAUUAGAGUUGAAUACUAUAGUUAUUUUAAAGAUGGACAAGAAAGUAGUAUUAUAAAUUGAUAACCAUGAGAGUUUAAUACCUCUUUAGAGAGGUACACAAGAUCUUAUUUUUUGUAUAAUGUCACAGUAAUGAAAACAAGGCAUGUGUCCUACUGCCUCCAACUCUCCCCUGACGCCCUCUUCCCUAAAGCCAAGUGGGGACUAGUCUAAACAGUUCCUAGUACAGUUACUAACAAUUAAUUACAAUGGAUAUUGUCCUCUGUUUGUUCUCCAAGUCGAGCCCAAUCACCUCACUUUAUAAAGAAAGUAUUAAGCUGAGGUUUAGAAAAAUGAAAUCCUUGUCUAGAAAAAGAACAUACGACUGGUUAUAAUAUCCUGAUCUUCCCAUCUAGUUCCCUUCUCAUAAUACUCUUCGGGAAAAUUUUGUGCUGCUAUGCCAAUAACCCACUGCAUUUACUAAUUUUUUUAAUGAAAAUGAGAAGUAGGUUACAGACCAGUUUUUAUUGUAUUAUGUCUGUAGAUCCUGACUGAUUGAAAAGAUUGGGUGCAGAAUGACUGUAUUCUAUGGUGUGCAUUGAAUACCUAUGAAUAAACACAAACACAAAUGCAUACUUCUUUGUUCACUUUUAGUUUACUGCUCUUUGUUCACUUUUAGUAAGUGCUCUUUGUUCACUUUUAGUUGCACAAUGUAAUAUAUUUCGAGUCGCUGCUUAACCUAUCUUUUAUCCCAAAUACUUUUAUUACAAGAAAAGCAGACAUCUCAAAAGAAUAUGUCAGGGCCUAUAAUUUUACAAGAAAUUUUCUUUCUUAGUUUUAUUUUAAGACUUCGUUUUCAAGGGAAGUGAAAAAUUGUGGGCACUUGUUAGCGUGUACAAGAGUACUGAGACAAAGGCAUUUGUGUGUGUGCGUGUUGUGGUUUAUGCUGACUGUAUACAUACAUAAUGAAGACAACCUUUGAAAAAUUUGGUUCUAAAUGUCAAGAACCAAAAAGAACUCUAUCAUGUGUGUUAUUAAUAUGUUUCACUAUCUAAAAGAAUAGUCCAUCAUGUAGUAGGAAUGUCACAUUACCAUAAUUUUCUUGUAUCAAAUGCAUGCAUUUAGCAAGUGCAUUAUGCCAGUGUCUGCCUUGAAAGAAGGAAAUCUCUUUGUAGUGCGCUUCAUGAGGUUGAACUGUCCCAUCUCCUUUAAAAAUAGAUCAAUAUUUUAGAAGUAAUUUUACAACUUUUUUUAAGCUUUCCUA
ensembl:lincRNA